rnacentral:rRNA from 1 species
UACGAAGGGGGCUAGCGUUGUUCGGAAUUACGUGGCGUAAAGCGCGCGCAGGCGGUUCUCCAAGUCAGUGGUGAAAGCCCGGAGCUCAACUCCGGAACUGCCAUUGAAACUGUUGAACUUGAGGACGAGAGAGGUGAGUGGAAUUCCCAGUGUAGAGGUGAAAUUCGUAGAUAUUGGGAAGAACACCGGUGGCGAAGGCGGCUCACUGGCCCAUUACUGACGCUGAGGCACGAAAGCGUGGGGAGCAAACAGG